rnacentral:rRNA from 1 species
GAUGAACGCUGGCGGCGUGCCUAAUACGUGCAAGUCGAGCGAACGGACGAGAAGCUUGCUUUUCUGAUGUUAGCGGCGGACGGGUGAGUAACACGUGGAUAACCUACCUAUAAGACUGGGAUAACUUCGGGAAACCGGAGCUAAUACCGGAUAAUAUUUUGAACCGCAUGGUUCAAAAGUGAAAGACGGUCUUGCUGUCACUUAUAGAUGGAUCCGCGCUGCAUUAGCUAGUUGGUAAGGUAACGGCUUACCAAGGCAACGAUGCAUAGCCGACCUGAGAGGGUGAUCGGCCACACUGGAACUGAGACACGGUCCAGACUCCUACGGGAGGCAGCAGUAGGGAAUCUUCCGCAAUGGGCGAAAGCCUGACGGAGCAACGCCGCGUGAGUGAUGAAGGUCUUCGGAUCGUAAAACUCUGUUAUUAGGGAAGAACAUAUGUGUAAGUAACUGUGCACAUCUUGACGGUACCUAAUCAGAAAGCCACGGCUAACUACGUG